rnacentral:rRNA from 1 species
GAUGAACGCUAGCUACAGGCUUAACACAUGCAAGUCGAGGGGCAGCAUGAACAAAGCUUGCUUUGUUUGAUGGCGACCGGCGCACGGGUGCGUAACACGUAUCCAAUCUGCCCGCGGCUCGGGGAUAGCCCAUCGAAAGAUGGAUUAAUACCCGAUGGCGUGGUCACUCCGCAUGGGGGUUUCCACUAAAGGUAUUCCGGCCGCGGAUGAGGAUGCGUAUGAUUAGGUAGUAGGCGGGGUAACGGCCACCUAGCCUUCGAUCAGUAGCCGGCCUGAGAGGAUGAACGGCCACAUUGGGACUGAGAUACGGCCCAGACUCCUACGGGAGGCAGCAGUGGGAAUAUUGGGCAAUGGGGGAAACCCUGACCCAGC